CCACUGUGGCAGCAAAGGAGACACCACUAUAAAGAAGGUGUUUUUCCCAGAGUGAGGCUCCUCCAUCACAUUCAGGGUGUCCAGACCCCUUGAAUUUCUUCAAAUUUGGGAAAUGCAAAAGUAUAAUUUGUGGCAGUGGAGAACUGUCUUAGCUUCCCCCUU
ensembl:snRNA U1 U1 spliceosomal RNA